ensembl:lncRNA
GGCAGGUAGAGCCUAGUGGUUAGAGGAGGCAGGUAGAGCCUAGUGGUUAGAGGAGGCAGGUAGAGCCUAGUGGUUAGAGGAGACAGGUAGCCUAGUGGUUAGAGGCAGGUAGCCUAGUGGUUAGAGGAGGCAGGUAGAGCCUAGUGGUUAGAGGAGGCAGGUAGCCUAGUGGUUAGAGGAGACAGGUAGAGCCUAGUGGUUAGAGGAGACAGGUAGAGCCUAGUGGUUAGAGGAGGCAGGUAGCCUAGUGGUUAGAGGAGGCAGGUAGCCUAGUGGUUAGAGGAGGCAGGUAGCCUAGUGGUUAGAGGAGGCAGGUAGCCUAGUGUUUAGAGGCAGGUAGCCUAGUGGUUAGAGGAGGCAGGCAGUCUAGUGGUUAGAGGUGGCAGGUAGCCUAGUGGUUAGAGGAGACAGG